UAGAGUUUGAUCCUGGCUCAGAACGUACGCUGGCGGCACGCCUAAUACAUGCAAGUCGAACGAAGUAGCAAUACUUAGUGGCAGACGGGUGAGUAACAUGUGGGUAUCUUCCCUUUGGUGAGGAAUAACACGAGGAAACUUGUGCUAAUACCUCAUAAGUCUUUACGGAGAAAGCUUUAUGCGCCAUUGGAUGAGCCCGCACUUGAUUAGUUUGUUGGUGGGGUAAUGGCCUACCAAGACAAUGAUCAAUAGCUGAUUUGAGAGGAUGAUCAGCCACAUUGGGACUGAGACACGGCCCAAACUUCUACGGAAGGCAGCAGUAGGGAAUCUUGCACAAUGGAGGAAACUCUGAUGCAGCGAUGCCGCGUGAGUGAAGAAGGCCUUUGGGUUGUAAAGCUCUUUCGUCGGGGAAGAAAAUGACUGUACCCGAAUAAGAAGGUCCGGCUAACUUCGUGCCAGCAGCCGCGGUAAUACGAAGGGACCUAGCGUAGUUCGGAAUUACUGGGCUUAAAGAGUUCGUAGGUGGUUAAAAAAGUUGGUGGUGAAAUCCCAGAGCUUAACUCUGGAACUGCCAUCAAAACUUUUUAGCUAGAGUAUGAUAGAGGAAAGCAGAAUUUCUAGUGUAGAGGUGAAAUUCGUAGAUAUUAGAAAGAAUACCAAUUGCGAAGGCAGCUUUCUGGAUCAUUACUGACACUGAGGAACGAAAGCAUGGGUAGCGAAGAGGAUUAGAUACCCUCGUAGUCCAUGCCGUAAACGAUGUGUGUUAGACGUUGGAAAUUUAUUUUCAGUGUCGCAGCGAAAGCAAUAAACACACCGCCUGGGGAGUACGACCGCAAGGUUAAAACUCAAAUGAAUUGACGGGGACCCGCACAAGUAGUGGAGCAUGUGGUUUAAUUCGAAGAUACGCGCAGAACCUUACCAACACUUGACAUGUUCGUCGCGACUCUAAGAGAUUAGAGUUUUCGGUUCGGCCGGACGAAACACAGGUGCUGCAUGGCUGUCGUCAGCUCGUGUCGUGAGAUGUUGGGUUAAGUCCCGCAACGAGCGCAACCCUUACUUUUAGUUGCCAUCAUUUAGUUGGGAACUCUGAAAGAACUGCCAGUGAUAAGCUGGAGGAAGGUGGGGAUGACGUCAAGUCCUCAUGGCCCUUACGUGUUGGGCUACACACGUGCUACAAUGGCAUUUACAAUAGGAAGCAAGGCGGCGACGUCAAGCAAAUCCUAAAAAAAUGCCUCAGUUCGGAUUGUACUCUGCAACUCGAGUACAUGAAGCUGGAAUUACUAGUAAUCGCGGAUCAGCGUGCCGCGGUGAAUGCGUUCCCGGGUCUUGUACACACCGCCCGUCACACCAUGGGAGUUGGUUCUACCUUAAGGCAAAGCUUAAAACCUUUGACCACGGUAUAGUCAGCGACUGGGGUGAAGUCGUAACAAGGUAACC
rnacentral:rRNA from 1 species